GCAUAUCAAUAAGCGGAGGAAAAGAAACCAACAGGGAUUGCCUUAGUAACGGCGAGUGAAGCGGCAACAGCUCAAAUUUGAAAUCUGGCCCUCGGGUCCGAAUUGUAAUUUGUAGAGGAUGAUUUUGGUGCGGUAUCUUCCGAGUUCCUUGGAACAGGACGCCUUAGAGGGUGAGAGCCCCGUACGGUUGAAUGCCUAGCCUCUGUAAAUCUCCUUCGACGAGUCGAGUAGUUUGGGAAUGCUGCUCUAAAUGGGAGGUAAAUUUCUUCUAAAGCUAAAUAUUGGCCAGAGACCGAUAGCGCACAAGUAGAGUGAUCGAAAGAUGAAAAGCACUUUGAAAAGAGGGUUAAAUAGCACGUGAAAUUGUUGAAAGGGAAGGAUUUGUGACCAGACUUUUUCUGGGCGGAUCAUCCGGGGUUCUCUCCGGUGCACUUUGCCCAGUAAAGGCCAGCAUCGAUUUUCGGCGGCGGAUAAAAGCAGUGGGAAUGUGGCUCCCUACGGGGAGUGUUAUAGCCCAUUGUAUAAUACGCUGCUGGGGAUCGAGGUACGCGCUUCUGCAAGGAUGCUGGCGUAAUGGUUAUCAAUCACCCGUCUUGAAACACCGACCA
rnacentral:rRNA from 1 species